rnacentral:rRNA from 1 species
AGAGUUUGAUCAUGGCUCAGGAUAAACGCUGGCGGCGUGCCUAACACAUGCAAGUCGAACGCCCUGUUUCGGCAGGGAGUGGCGGACGGGUGAGGAACACGUGGGUAUCUACCUUGAGGUGAGGAAUACCGGCGAGAAAUCGCCGACAAUACCGCAUACGCUCGAAGGAGCAAAGUCGCAAGACGCCUGGAGAUGAGCCU